GGAUUAGUACGCUGGUCGUGCCUUCGGUACGUACUGGUGUUACUGAUUCCUACCUUCUGACGAACCAUCAUGUCAUUAAUUUGGUGUGGCGGGGAAUCAGGACUGUUACUUUGAAAAAAUUAGAGUGUUUAAAGCAGGCUCGCGCUUGAAUACAUUAGCAUGGAAUAAUGAGAUAGGACGUUGAUCCUAUUUUGUUGGUUUCUAGGAUUGACGUA
rnacentral:rRNA from 1 species